UACGGAGGGUGCAAGCGUUAUCCGGAUUCACUGGGUUUAAAGGGUGCGUAGGCGGGUUGGUAAGUCCGUGGUGAAAUCCCCAAGCUUAACUUGGGAACUGCCGUGGAUACUAUCAAUCUUGAAUAUCGUGGAGUUAAGCGGAAUAUGUCAUGUAGCGGUGAAAUGCUUAGAGAUGACAUAGAACACCAAUUGCGUAGGCAGCUUACUACACGAUCAUUGACGCUGAGGCACGAAAGCGUGGGGAGCAAACAGG
rnacentral:rRNA from 1 species